GGGGGUAUAGCUCAGUUGGGAGAGCACCUGCCUUGCACGCAGGGGGUCAGCGGUUCGAGCCCGCUUACCUCCACCA
rnacentral:tRNA from 4 species